rnacentral:rRNA from 1 species
UGCAGCAGGCGCGAAAACUUCGCAAUGCGGGAAACCGUGACGAGGGAAUCCCGAGUGCUCAUACAAUGUAUGGGCUUUUCUUAUGUGUAAAUAGCAUGAGGAAUAA